GCCUACGGGAGGCAGCAGUCGGGAAUAUUGCACAAUGGAGGAAACUCUGAUGCAGUGACACCGCGUAUAGGAAGAAGGUUUUCGGAUUGUAAACUAUUUUAGACAGGGAAGAAAAAAGACAGUACCUGUAGAAUAAGCUCCGGCUAACUACGUGCCAGCAGCCGCGGUAAUACGUAGGUGGCAAGCGUUGUCCGGAUUUACUGGGUGUAAAGGGCGUGUAGCCGGGCUGACAAGUCAGAUGUGAAAUCCGGGGGCUCAACCCCCGAACUGCAUUUGAAACUGUUGGUCUUGAGUAUCGGAGAGGC
rnacentral:rRNA from 1 species